rfam:Triticum aestivum genome assembly, contig: Triticum_aestivum_CS42_TGACv1_scaffold_320783_4BL
GAUAUACUCCCUCCGUCCGAAAAUACUUGCCAUCAAAAUGAAUAAAAAAAGACAUAUCUAGAACUAAAAUACGUCUAGAUACAUCCCCUUUUAUCCAUUUUGAUGACAAGUAUUUACGGACGGAGGGAGUAGCAC